rnacentral:rRNA from 1 species
ACGUUCGGAUUGCAGGCUGAAAUUCGCCUGUAUGAAGCCGGAAUUGCUAGUAAUGGCAGGUCAGCAUACUGCCGUGAAUACGUUCCCGGGCCUUGUACACACCGCCCGUCACACCAUGAGAGUUGGGGAUACCCAAAGCCUGUGAGCUAACGAAAGAGGCAGCAGUCGAAGGUAGAAUCAAUGAUUGGGGUGAAGUCGUAACAAGGUACC